rnacentral:rRNA from 1 species
GAUGAACUCUGGCGGCGUGCUUAACACAUGCAAGUCGAACGGGAAACCUUUUAUUGAAGCUUCGGCAGAUUUAGCUGGUUUCUAGUGGCGGACGGGUGAGUAACGCGUGGGUAACCUGCCUUAUACAGGGGGAUAACAGUCAGAAAUGACUGCUAAUACCGCAUAAGCGCACAGGACCGCAUGGUCCGGUGUGAAAAACUCCGGUGGUAUAAGAUGGACCCGCGUUGGAUUAGCUGGUUGGUGAGGUAACGGCUCACCAAGGCGACGAUCCAUAGCCGGCCUGAGAGGGUGAACGGCCACAUUGGGACUGAGACACGGCCCACACUCCUACGGGAGGCAGCAGUGGGGAAUAUUGCACAAUGGGGGAAACCCUGAUGCAGCGACGCCGCGUGAAGGAAGAAGUAUCUCGGUAUGUAAACUUCUAUCAGCAGGGAAGAUAGUGACGGUACCUGACUAAGAAGCCCCGGCUAACUACGUGCCAGCAGCCGCGGUAAUACGUAGGGGGCAAGCGUUAUCCGGAUUUACUGGGUGUAAAGGGAGCGUAGACGGACUGGCAAGUCUGAUGUGAAAGGCGGGGGCUCAACCCCUGGACUGCAUUGGAAACUGUUAGUCUUGAGUGCCGGAGAGGUAAGCGGAAUUCCUAGUGUAGCGGUGAAAUGCGUAGAUAUUAGGAGGAACACCAGUGGCGAAGGCGGCUUACUGGACGGUAACUGACGUUGAGGCUCGAAAGCGUGGGGAGCAAACAAGAUUAGAUACCCUGGUAGUCCACGCCGUAAACGAAGAAUACUAGGUGUUGGGGAGCAAAGCUCUUCGGUGCCGCCGCAAACGCAUUAAGUAUUCCCACCUGGGGAGUACGUUCGCAAGAAUGAAACUCAAAGGAAUUGACGGGGACCCGCACAAGCGGUGGAGCAUGUGGUUUAAUUCGAAGCAACGCGAAGAACCUUACCAAGUCUUGACAUCCCUCUGACCGACUCUUAACCGAGUCUUUCCUUCGGGACAGAGGAGACAGGUGGUGCAUGGUUGUCGUCAGCUCGUGUCGUGAGAUGUUGGGUUAAGUCCCGCAACGAGCGCAACCCCUAUCCCCAGUAGCCAGCGGUUCGGCCGGGCACUCUGAGGAGACUGCCAGGGAUAACCUGGAGGAAGGCGGGGAUGACGUCAAAUCAUCAUGCCCCUUAUGAUUUGGGCUACACACGUGCUACAAUGGCGUAAACAAAGGGAAGCGAGCCUGCGAAGGUAAGCAAAUCCCAAAAAUAACGUCCCAGUUCGGACUGCAGUCUGCAACUCGACUGCACGAAGCUGGAAUCGCUAGUAAUCGCGGAUCAGAAUGCCGCGGUGAAUACGUUCCCGGGUCUUGUACA